CAAACAUAAGGCGGAGUCCAUUCGGGGGCCCCACCUCCUUCCAGAAGCCGCCCUGAUCCCCAAGCUGGACAGCUGCUCCUGGCCGAGUCCCCACCGUGCCUGGCCUUUGCACGGGCUGCUGCCUCUGCCCGGAAGACACCCUCACCAUCGCCCAGCCUGGGAGUCAGCCUGGAGGAGCACAU